GUAAUACAUGUACAUGGUAAAAAUCUAGUAAAACAGACUACUAGAGAUGAAACUGAAAAGUUCCUUUCCUGUUCUCCCAGUGCCCCUCCUUGCCAACUUCCUCUUGCCAGAAGUAACUCUUAUUAGCAAUUUCUCAUAUAUAUCCUUCCUUACACAUUCUGGACACAUACAUACACAUGCAUAUUUAUCCAUUUUGUACAAUCCUCAAUAAAUGUGUUAAACAACUAAAAGGAAGGAAGAACUUGAGAAAACUGGAAACAAAUUGCUAUCUUGACCAUCUCAGGCCAGACCGGGUCUCCUAACUGAAAAUUACCACCUCCGAGGGCAGCAGGGAACAGUACCCAAUGAUAGAUGAGGACAUGGAGCAGCUAGACCUCUUGCCUGCA
rnacentral:lncRNA from 1 species